rnacentral:rRNA from 1 species
AUUGAACGCUGGCGGCAUGCCUUACACAUGCAAGUCGAACGGUAACAGGUCUUCGGAUGCUGACGAGUGGCGAACGGGUGAGUAAUACAUUGGAACGUGCCUAGUAGUGGGGGAUAACUACUCGAAAGAGUGGCUAAUACCGCAUGAGAUCUACGGAUGAAAGCAGGGGAUCGCAAGACCUUGUGCUACUAGAGCGGCCGAUGGCCGAUUAGGUAGUUGGUGGGAUAAAAGCUUACCAAGCCGACGAUCUGUAGCUGGUCUGAGAGGACGAUCAGCCACACUGGGACUGAGACACGGCCCAGACUCCGACGGGAGGCAGCAGUGGGGAAUUUUGGACAAUGGGCGCAAGCCUGAUCCAGCAAUGCCGCGUGCAGGAUGAAGGCCUUCGGGUUGUAAACUGCUUUUGUACGGAACGAAAAGCCCUGGGUUAAUACCCUGGGGUCAUGACGGUACCGUAAGAAUAAGCACCGGCUAACUACGUGCCAGCCGCCGCCGUAAUAC